rnacentral:lncRNA from 1 species
CACUGGCCAUCUCGGGGUUUUCCUGCUUUGCUUGUUUGCUGAGAGCUCCUCAGAGAGGAAGCUGCUGGGACCGCCCAGCCCUCACCAUGACCCCAGUGCCCCACCCACAGAUCAUCAUGGGCUUGGAAUGAGCCCUGGAAGGAGGCCACCAGAGAAACCAUAGAAAGAGACAGCAGGAAAUAAGUGGAAGGCAAAUUGGGAAGGUCUUUCUGUGUAGUCCAGGCUGGCCUUGAACUUGCUGUGUAGCCUCAGCUGGCCUCAACCUCUCAAAGAUCCUCCUGCCUUAGCCUCCUGAGCGCUGGGAUUACAGGUGUGUGCCAGAGCAUUUCUCUCCACAGUGUCAGGCCCCAGGGAAAGCUGCUUUCGCCACCAGGCCAGCUCUCAGGGUUCGGCAGCUAAGAAGAGAUGAAGACGGAAAGCAGGAGCUCUCCGAUGUCCCCCGGUAUAGACUGCUUCAUGUGGAACACUGCCAACUUCAUCUAGGAUCAAGCUUGCUUCCGGGCAUGAAGGAAGUUCCAAAAUUAG